rnacentral:rRNA from 1 species
GACAGAGGGUGCAAACGUUGUUCGGAUUUACUGGGCGUAAAGCGCGUGUAGGCGGCCUUGCAAGUCGGAUGUGAAAGCCCACGGCUCAACCGUGGAAGUGCAUCCGAAACUGCAUAGCUCGAGUCUCGGAGAGGAAGGUGGAAUGCUUGGUGUAGAGGUGAAAUUCGUAGAUAUCGAGAGGAACAUCGGUGGCGAAGGCGGCCUUCUGGACGAUGACUGACGCUGAGACGCGAAAGCGUGGGGAGCAAACAGG